UUUUUUAAAAAUUGACUUUCUGCGUUCUAGUGAUAUUAAACAUGCUAUUCUUUCAUUUGUUAAUCAGUUUGAAGUCCAAAUAUGGUGAAUAGCUGAUAUUUUUAAUGAUGAAGGUGUUAUGUUCCACUGUUUUUAUGGUUCCACAGUGGAUAAAGGUGUUAUGUACUUAACGUCAAACAUAACACCUUCAUCCACUGUUAGUAGAAAGUUUUACUUCCACCAUCGCGCUUGAAUAGGUUAUGUGUAAAGAUUUGUGAAAGUGUUGCACUUUGUUUGUGAUGAUGUACUUGCAGUUUUAAAAUAAUGUCUAGAGGAAAAUACAUUUUAGAGCUUCUAAAUACGCAAAAGCAGCCACCGGCUACACUACAGGAAGGCUUGAAUUUGAAUAAACAAAAUGAUAAGAGUGAAAACUUAAGUAGUACUUCGAGCAACUUUUGUGUUUUAGAAAAGAAUGUGGAAGUAGGUAUGUCAUUUUCCUAGUACCAGUAAAGAUUUCUCAACUGAUAACAUCACCAAUCGCCCUGAAAAUUCAGAUGUAUCCAAUAGGAAUAAAGGCGAUUAUGGUUUUCAACCAUCAAGAUCAAAUAUGGAUGAUUAUUUAACUGACGAAGAUGCAACGUCUGGGAGCGAAUACUUUCCCGAUGGAGAAUCAAGCGAUGACUCGGAUAAUGAGGUGCUGACUAACAUUCGUGAAAAAUUAUUAUCGCAAAGAAAUAAUGAUCCAAUGAGGUACUCAAAAACUCCCGAAGAUGCUGCACUCAUAGACCAUGUUACUGCUGAUAGUGAAAUGGGAAACACAGAAGUAGCAGAAGACCGGGUUUUUGAAGUAAAAAGACAAACUGUGAAGAAGAAGUUAUUUGAGUUAAAAGAGAAGACUUCGAGACGUCGUCUUAGGAAUCCGGAUCAGUGGAAAAGACGGAAAGCUGCAAUGGCCGGGGCAAAGGGAGAAGAAUAUUUGUCUCAAACGGGAAAGGUUGUGCCACAAAAAGAAAUAAACUCUGGAUUGUUGUGCAAGGAAAAAUGCAGGUUAAAGUGCACUGAAAAAUUUAACUUAGACGACAGAAAAAUAAUCUUAAAAAAUUAUCAAAGUCCUCGUUUGAGAUCGAAGGGACUUCAGCGCAUUUUUGUGUGGCAGAUCAGUAUUCUAUUAGCCACUUUCGACUCAACCAUCAAUAACAGAUCUUGU